AGGGGCAGCAUGGAGGAAGCUUGCUUCUUCUGAUGGCGACCGGCGCACGGGUGCGUAACGCGUAUCAAACCUGCCUCAUACUCGGGGAUAGCCUUGCGAAUGUAAGAUUAAUACCCGAUGUUGUUAUGUUACCGCAUGGUGAUAUAACCAAAGAUUUAUCGGUAUGAGAUGGUGAUGCGUCCGAUUAGGUAGUAGGCGGGGUAACGGCCCACCUAGCCAUCGAUCGGUAGGGGUUCUGAGAGGAAGGUCCCCCACACUGGAACUGAGACACGGUCCAGACUCCUACGGGAGGCAGCAGUGAGGAAUAUUGGUCAAUGGACGGAAGUCUGAACCAGCCAAGUAGCGUGCAGGAUGACGGCCCUCUGGGUUGUAAACUGCUUUUAGUUGGGAAUAAAAAAGAGGACGUGUCCUCUAUUGUAUGUACCUUCAGAAAAAGGACCGGCUAAUUCCGUGCCAGCAGCCGCGGUAAUACGGAAGGUCCAGGCGUUAUCCGGAUUUAUUGGGUUUAAAGGGAGCGUAGGCGGAUUAUUAAGUCAGUGGUGAAAGACGGUGGCUCAACCAUCGUUAGCCAUUGAAACUGGUAGUCUUGAGUGCAGACAGGGAUGCUGGAACUCGUGGUGUAGCGGUGAAAUGCUUAGAUAUCACGAUGAACUCCGAUCGCGAAGGCAGGUGUCCGGGCUGCAACUGACGCUGAGGCUCGAAAGUGUGGGUAUCAAACAGGAUUAGAUANCCUGGUAGUCCACACAGUAAACGAUGUAUACUCGCGGUUUGCGAUAUAUUGUAAGCCGCCAAGCGAAAGCAUUAAGUAUACCACCU
rnacentral:rRNA from 1 species